AUUAUCGACAUCUGGUUUUGUUAAAAUCUCCAUGCGUGGUCUUUACUGCCCAGUUUGCUGGGAAAGGUGCACGAGUCAUCACCGUCCAGCAUCUGUGAACAAACCCCAAGGGGCCGAGGGCAGCCCUGUGAGAUAGUCAUGAAGCUGUCUGGCGAGCUGCCCACCACGGUGACGAAGGAGAUGUGGAGAAAGCUAUGGUUCACCCAGAGCGCCGGGCACUACCUGCAUGUCAUCUCCAACGUGGGGGAGGGCCCUGAAAUCUCUCUGGUGCAGCAGCGCACCCUGGUGGUAGAAAGGCUUGUGUCAACAACACACAUCCCUGGGGCGGGGAGGAGUGAAGUCCGUGGGGAAACGCGCGGAAGCCAG